UUUCCUUUCUUCCGUUUCCUUACUGUGCCUGAUCCUCUUCUUUCCCCUUCUUCUUCUUCCCCUUCGUGGUCGAAACCGAUUGUCUUCCUCUCAAUCUCGCAUCGUCUCCUCAUCAUCUUCCUCUCCUUCCCAACCGGCGUCGCCCUCCCGAGCUCUUCCCCAUCUCCUCUUCUCAUCUCUGCCCUAGCCUCUUCAUGCGAUCGCUGACCCCUACAAGCCGAAGCUAGGUCGUGACGUCGCUGAUCUUCACGGCCACCAGCAUCAGGUGUGGUCGUGACGGAGGACGAGGCUAGCCCUCAGUCGAUCUUCUUCCUCUUCAUUCUGAUUCCUCUUCAUCACGCACCAAGUCGCACCCUACAACAGAGUAGCAGCUGAUACCACCCAAGGAGUCAUCGUUGGUAGAAUUUUAGGUUGUGUUCCCGUGCCCUAGAUUUCCUCUUGCUACCAGAUCCGAACAAAGCAUCAGAAUUGGCUCCAGCAGGUACUGUUCGCCGGCUAAGGCUUUAGAUAUGUUCGGUCAGUGUUGUUUGACGGUGUCGAUCCACAACUCCAGCCCCUUUUCCGACAAUAGACACAACGAUCUCGAGUCAAAAGUGGAGCAUUCAGACUCGGGACUUUGAUUCGAAACGACGUCUCGACGUGGGAUCUAUUUUGGAUACGAUCUCCACUCUUUAGAGGCGGG